UACGCAGGGUGCAAGCGUUGUCCGGAAUUAUUGGGCGUAAAGAGCUCGUAGGCGGGUUGUCGCGUCUGCUGUGAAAACGCGAGGCUCAACCUCGCGCCUGCAGUGGGUACGGGCAGACUAGAGUGCGGUAGGGGAGAUUGGAAUUCCUGGUGUAGCGGUGGAAUGCGCAGAUAUCAGGAGGAACACCGAUGGCGAAGGCAGAUCUCUGGGCCGUAACUGACGCUGAGGAGCGAAAGCGUGGGGAGCGAACAGG
rnacentral:rRNA from 1 species